rnacentral:rRNA from 1 species
GCCUAACACAUGCAAGUCAAGGGGAAAGUUUAACUUCGGUUUAACGAGUAUACUGGCGGACGGGUGAGUAACGCGUAGGCAACCUGCCCUUUUGAACGGGAUAACCCAGCGAAAGUUGGACUAAUACCGUAUACUGCAUAUUAAUCGCCUGGUUAAUAUGUGAAAGGAUGCUUUUCGGAGCACUCACAAAAGGAUGGGCCUGCGUUCCAUUAGUUAGUUGGUGAGGUAACGGCUCACCAAGACAGCGAUGGAUAGCUGGUUUGAGAGAGUGAUCAGCCACACUGGGACUGAGAUACGGCCCAGACUCCUACGGGAGGCAGCAGUGAGGAAUAUUGCGCAAUGGAGGAAACUCUGACGCAGCAACGCCGCGUGGGGGAUGAAGUUCUAUGGAGCGUAAACCCCUGUAAGUAGGGACGAAAGGUAGAUAUUCAAAUAGGGUAUUUAUUUGACGGUACCUGCAGAGUAAGCUCCGGCUAACUCCGUGCCAGCAGCCGCGGUAAUACGGGGGGAGCAAGCGUUGUCCGGAAUUACUGGGCGUAAAGGGCGUGUAGGCGGUUUAAUGAGUCAGAUGUUAAAGCCCCCGGCUUAACCGGGGAUAGUCAUUUGAAACUGUUAGGCUUGAGUGCGAGAGAGGGUAGUGGAAUUCCCAGUGUAGCGGUGAAAUGCGUAGAUAUUGGGAAGAACACCAGUAGCGAAGGCGGCUACCUGGCUCGCAACUGACGCUAAGGCGCGAAAGCGUGGGGAGCAAACAGGAUUAGAUACCCUGGUAGUCCACGCUGUAAACGAUGAACACUAGGUGUUGGUUUGCCGCAGGCUGAUCAGUGCCGUAGU